UCGCGCAAGUAAAUAACUUCUCCCUGUAUUGAGAUGAGCCAAAUAGCCCGGUGGCUCGCACCAUUUAAGAGAAGCCCCCCUUCUCGUGCUACAGGAAGCGCAUCUCUACAGAGAGUGCUCAACUAUCAGAUGCUCCUCGCCCAGUCGGCCACGCCCUCAACUCACUCCCCGGGUUUGCUGUUAUCUUAUAAAAGUAAGUGAAGUUAUCAUCUAUUAAUUUUAUCUAGUUUAACUGGAGCACCACCAUUUCGAGGUUGAUUUAAUUUUCCAUCACUUGUGAAAUUUAAUUAUGCAUUAAGGUCACACUUGGAUGAAAUGGAAUGAUAAGAGAACGGAGUUUUAUGGAGAAAGAAGAGAGUGUGAGAAGAUAGUCACUAAAUAUGACUAUACGAGGGAAUCUAAAUUUUUAUGAUGUUGCAGGGAAAUCUGAUGUUAAAGUAGAAUGAGCAUUUUUUCUGAUAUACGUGGGUUAGAUUUCUAGUUCAAAUAGUUUGAAAUGAAAUGAUAGAAGGAAUGAAAAUUAUAGACUUUUACUCUAAUCACCCCUAAUUUAGAAUACAAAUUUCAUUCCAUUCUCCUACCAUUCAAUGUCAUUCAAUUGCAUCCAAGUGAAUGCAGGCUAAGAGGAUAAGGUUGCUGCAGGAUAUCAAGAUGCCGCCGAAAAUUCUGGCAUCAAACAGCUAUGUUACCUGGGGUAUGGGUGUCGGAGUUUGGUACACAUCCAAGAUUCAGAUUCAUAGUUUUAUGAUGAUUAAGAUACUUGGAUAUGAAUGCGAAAUUAGACACGGAUAUAGAGACUUGGUACCUAAGCUCCACGCAAUUAGUGCCCUCUGCAGAUAAAUUACAUACAGUAAUUAUGUAUGUUAAAUUGUAACAUAAAAUCAAUAAAAUUAACGUUAAAACAAGUCAUUUACGGAUCUUGAUUUUUAUAAACAAGUUGUAACAAGACCUAGAUUUUCAUUUUGAUCCGGGAUGCUACAAGGUGAAGCGUCCGGUUGUAAUAAGAAGGAUCUGACUCAGAUCCCAUACCCACACUCAUGAGUGGACAUGGGUGUAAGCACAAAAAUGGAGAGUCCAGGUAACAUAGUCAAACAGCCAAGUCUAUCCAUGGUCUUAAAAGACAAGAACAAUAAAAAUGCGAAAGAUUUUGGGCCUUCAAGGUGUAAAAAGGCAAAUCAGAGAAGGUGCAGGAGGACGCGUAUUAUGGAGUGGACAUGUGUGUGUGCUUUGCAUUAGAAGUUGAAUCUCAUAUUUUAUCCCUAACGGAGGGGAGGAUAUCACCAAUUCUCCAACAGAAAACACAAAAGAAACUGCUACUACAAAACGUCAACAAGCCCUUCUAUCUGGCAAGUAUUCCUCUCCUGUGGCUGGAUUAAUGGAACUGAGUUUCCAAAUGGUGUGACGCCACCUCCACCUCGAAGGUUCAGGUAUUUGCAAUACAUUUGAUGCAUAUUAAAAUUAAAAAUUCCAGUGCAGGUUAUUUCAGACUUCUAAACUCUAGUUAUGUAGGCAAACUUAGAAAUUCUAACAUCUGACAGUUUCUUUUAAGUCAGAAAAUUAUAUGAAAAGCUAAACACUUGAUAAUCAUCUGUACAUAUGUGACUUGUGAACCUUUCACAAAAACAAAAAAAUAAAAUAUUGUAUUAGUGUGUUAGGAUAAAACUUCUGCUGUUUCCAUCCCGGGGAAAAAGAGGAACUCACGGAAGUUGAGUAUCAGCUGAAGAAAGCUGAGACUGCUGAGAAGCGUAGAUUGCAAAUAGAGAAAAGCUGCUUGGGAGUCGGGGCUUUGCUUCUGUUUUUUUAGUUCUUCAGGUUGUUACAUGGUCAUUAUAUUAAUGACUGGUAUUGUUGUUAUAUGAUCUUUGGUUUUAGGUCGAGGCAAACAGAAAAAUACUCGGUCUCCAGUAGAAAGAAGCGGGAAGAUAUAAUAAAGAAGUGUCAGGAAGAGUUGGCUUAGGAGAGGGCUGUCAAUGCAGGAAUGCUUCCUCAGAAUACUAUUAGGUGUGUCAUGGUCUCAUGGAGCCUACCGGAACCACAUUUACCUUUUCAGACGAUGUGGGUUUGCCUCACAUAUUUGACCCUAAAUUCUGCAGUUAUCCUCCUCCACGUGAAAAAUGUGCUGGUCCAUCUUUUAGCAACCCAUGCAGAUAUAUGGAUUCGAAGACAAAAGUUCCUCUUUGCAGUCUCCAGAGCUACAAGGCAAUCCAUAAAAAGUCAAGGUUGAGAUACUACUUGCUACUGUUUGUAGUAGGCUCUAAUGAUGCAGGUAUUCCUCCUGCGCAGUUGUCUAUUUUAUAUAAACCGUGUGGUGAAUGUUUGGUAGUUAACCGUGACUAAAGAUGUUAAGAGGUGAAGUUCUUUAUCAAAGAGCAGAACCAGACAUUACUAUUCGGAAAUUGGCCUGUUUUAUCCAUCUUUUGAAGCUUGUGAUCAGAUGAGUACAGUUAGUCGCGUAGCACUAUUCCUAGUUUCUAUUUCCAGAUUGAAAGAAGCAGUGUGUGCUGUUUGGGUGCUAUUUCGAUUCCCUUACCCAGUUACCCCUUUGACCCUACCUGUGCUGCCAAUAAUAAGAACCAACUGAGUUUCCAUC